UCCUGAUAGUUGAAAUGGUAAAAAAAUCUGCCUGCAAUGCAGGAGACCCAGGUUUGAUACCAGGGUCAGGAA
rnacentral:tRNA from 1 species